CAAACCACAUAAUUUUGCAUUUCUAGCUUUCUUUUUCCCUCUCUUUCUAUCCACUCCUUGCAGUUUUACCCCCAGUGCUUCCCAUAUAUCUUUUCAUUCUAGCGCUCUUUUACAUUUCUUACCUACUUCACUCCUUUUCAUUUGCUUCCCACAAAUAUUCAUCCUUUCAGAUUUACCAAUGACCCUGCAGAACUGGAGGACUGUUAAUUGACCUGGAUUUGGGUGGCCUCACACCCUCUGGAGCAGACUGCAAGCAAGAGUAACCUUCCAUGUGUCUGUCCUCGUUUUGAUUGAGAGUCUAUGCUACACACCAGGGAAAACGUGGUUAAUAGAAAAGGCUAAUUGGAAAACCGAAGACUCUUUGCUGCAUCUACUGGAUUUCAUUCAAAAUCUGGAUUCUUUGGCACCACUCUGUCAUCAGUGCUUUAAAAAAACUUGGCCAGGCACUCUUUUCACCCCAGAGAGUGGAAAUAAAAUUGAGGAAGCUGAUCAUAUGACCCUGGGAGAACUGAAAUGAUUGCUCUGACAUGAACAGUCUUUGGUAGGAUCCUAAGGAACAGUAUGCACUGGUGACAUGGUCAGCAGUCAUUAACUUGUUGUCUUGAUCAUCGGUCCCAGGAAAUCUGUGGCUUGCAGCAUGCCUCAUAUUUACUGCUGCUGGUCUAACAUAUGGUUUGCCAUGACAAGCAGUCUUUAAUUUUGGCAGGCCUGUGGUUGUCUCAGAAACAUCAUGUUUAGAGGGAGAAUUUAACAAGAACUUGUAUUGAGUUUUCAAAAUAAUGAGAAACAUUUGACACAGAUUUCUGUGAUUUCAGGUGCAUUUUCUGUAACAUUCUGUUAAGCUGUAAGACAAGAUAUAGUAAGGGACAGUAAAGUUUCAGUUAAUUUUUUCAGACCUUUUUUUACUAUUUUUUAAAUCUCAUGGGUUUUUUUCCUUAAAAACCAAAACUUAACAGACUAGUAUCUACAUAAUGACUACCAACACACAGACCAAUAAUUUCCACAGCAACUGAUGACUAAUGCAAGAAGAAGA
rnacentral:lncRNA from 1 species